ACGAACGCUGGCGGCGUGGAUAAGACAUGCAAGUCGAGCGGGAUUAUUUUUGUAGCAAUACAGAAAUAAUUCAGUGGCGAACGGGUGCGUAACACGUGGGCAAUCUGCCGAAAAGUGGGGGAUAGCUCGCCGAAAGGCGAAUUAAUACCGCAUGUGGUGAGGGACGACAUCUUCCUGAAUCCAAAGCCGGGGCAACCUGGCGCUUUUUGAGGAGCCCGCGGCCUAUCAGCUAGUUGGUGAGGUAACGGCCCACCAAGGCUUUGACGGGUAGCUGGUCUGAGAGGACGACCAGCCACACUGGAACUGAGACACGGUCCAGACACCUACGGGUGGCAGCAGUCGAGAAUUUUUCUCAAUGGGGGCAACCCUGAAGGAGCGACGCCGCGUGGAGGAUGAAGGCUUUCGGGUUGUAAACUCCUGUCAUUUGAGAACAAGUGCCAACAAGUAACUACUGUUGGCUUGAUAGUAUCAGAAGAGGAAGGGACGGCUAACUCUGUGCCAGCAGCCGCGGUAAUACAGAGGUCCCAAGCGUUGUUCGGAUUCAUUGGGCGUAAAGGGUGCGUAGGUGGCGCCGUAAGUCGGGUGUGAAAUUUCGGAGCUUAACUCCGAAACUGCAUUCGAUACUGCGGUGCUUGAGGACUGGAGAGGAGACUGGAAUUCAUGGUGUAGCAGUGAAAUGCGUAGAGAUCAUGAGGAAGACCAGUGGCGAAGGCGGGUCUCUGGACAGUUCCUGACACUGAGGCACGAAGGCCAGGGGAGCA
rnacentral:rRNA from 1 species